rnacentral:rRNA from 1 species
AGGGCAAGUCUGGUGCCAGCAGCCGCGGUAAUUCCAGCUCCAAUAGCGUAUAUUAAAGUUGUUGCAGUUAAAAAGCUCGUAGUUGAAUUUCGGGGUUCUACCGUUGGUCGGGCUUUGUCUGUACUGGCGUGUAGAAUUUCUACCUUCUGGGGAACCAUUAUGUUAUUAAUUUAGCGUAGUGGGAAACCAGGACCUUUACCUUGAAAAAAUUAGAGUGUUCAAAGCAGGCUUAUGUCUGAAUACAUUAGCAUGGAAUAAUAGAAUAGGACGGUGGUCCUGUUUUGUUGGUUUCUGAAUCACCGUAAUGAUUAAUAGGGAUAGUUGGGGACAUUAGUAUUCAAUUGUCAGAGGUGAAAUUCUUGGAUUUAUUGAAGACUAACUUCUGCGAAAGCAUUUGCCAAGGAUGUUUUCAUUAAUCAAGAACGAAAGUUAGGGGAUCGAAGACGAUCAGAUACCGUCGUAGUCUUAACCAUAAACUAUGCCGACUAGGGAUCGGACGAUGUUAAUUUUUCUUGACUCGUUCGGCGCCUUACGGGAA